CCUGCUCUGCCAGGCAUAUUAAGUCAGUGAAGCGCAAGUCCCUUUGGUUUAGGGGGCGUAUAUGAGCCUGACAAAGAGCGAUUUCUUUUAGGUCAACACACACACAUGCACCUUUGCAUCUUAUUUAUAUGGUAUUUGCUGACCGUGCUUCAAAACAAGUCAACCAAUCAAGGUGGCCAAAUAUUCCAGGGUGGCAUUUGCAGUUGUUUUGAACUAAUGAUCUGUGUACCUGUGCC